rnacentral:rRNA from 1 species
UACGUAGGGUGCAAGCGUUAAUCGGAAUUACUGGGCGUAAAGCGUGCGCAGGCGGUUUUGUAAGUCUGUCGUGAAAGCCCCGGGCUCAACCUGGGAAUUGCGAUGGAGACUGCAAGGCUUGAAUCUGGCAGAGGGGGGGUAGAAUUCCACGUGUAGCAGUGAAAUGCGUAGAGAUGAUGGAGGAACACCGAUGGCGAAGGCAGCCCCCUGGGUCAAGAUUGACGCUCAUGCACGAAAGCGUGGGGAGCAAACAGG